rnacentral:rRNA from 1 species
AUGCCUGCGGAUUCACACCCGGGUACCUCUGCCGUCUCUGUCUGCCUCAGAGCUAACUCCAUCCGAGCCACCGCGGCCUCUCCGCCACUCGCCGCGGCCUUGCCUUCCGCUGCUAGGACGCCGGCCACUAUCGUCUGCCGUGAGCUGUCACGCCUCAAUGGCCUUGAGCUCGCUGCGGCUCUACCUCGCCGCGCUCCGCCUCUCCACCGUGGACUUGCCGGGGCCCUCCAAGCCGCCCCUGGUUCAACCCGCUGCCUCCAACUUGGUGAACCGCCACGGUCUGCGGCUGCGCCGAGUUACCUUCGACUCAGGGGCCACACCCAGGGAAGGGGAGGCGCGGGGAGCGGUUUCGAGCCGCCGGCUCUGCUAACUCGCCGCUCCGAUUAUGUUUCCUUCUUGCCAAGCGGUCUCGUUUUCAAACUUGCUAUCACCAUGGUAAACCGCCGGCUGCGCCUCUCGUCACCACCUGGAGUCACACAUGCCUUACCUCUUUCAUAA